GCACCAGUGCCCGAGCGGCCUAAGGGAACGGUCUGCAAAGCCGUAAAGUCGCGGGUUCAAAUCCCGCCUGGUGCUCAA
rnacentral:tRNA from 1 species